AAGAUUAAAAAUUUUAAGCUUCUAACUUAAUAACAGCAAAUAUUUUUGUUUUUUCUUU
rnacentral:tRNA from 1 species